rnacentral:lncRNA from 1 species
AGACAGUCAAAGAGAAAUGAUGGAGAGAUGAGAUUAUGAUGAGACGGCAAGAAAAACAUGGGGAAUUGCCUAAAACUAAUCCUCUAUUCUUCCAAGCCUGCAACAGCUUCCCUGGAGAUUGAUGAAAUCCUAAAGGGCUCCAUCUACACAGGAAUGAGUAUUCCUGGGAACAUCAGACUGGCUGUCAGAUGAGCAGGAAUUCGGCUUAGCUGAGUAUGCUUCCUCUGGGGAGGACCAAGUCCUGAUGAAGCCAACUAGAAGCAUAAUAAUUUAAAUAGAUUCCUGGUUCUGUUUUAUCAGGUGCUUGCCCUGGGAGUGUGUCUCCUGUCUUCUCCUGAUGGAGUCCUUUGCAUCUGGAUAAGCAGCCCAUGAGCAUGGAAAGAUUCCGGCUGAGCUGGCCACCUAAGCUGGUCACUUGGGUCCUCAACUUCAGGUCUAGCAUUAGAUUAUCAAAAUUACAUUGCUUUUUGUUAUUUUCUUUACCCUAAGCACAAGGUGUUGAGUUAAUCAUAUUCUUUGGCUCAUGGCGUGUUAUCAUCAUUGAUAGAUUGAUUUGUUCAUUCAUUUAUUUAUUUCUUCCUUUUGAUCCUAUGUUCCAUUUCUAUUACUCUCCUCCCCUGGCAGCUCUUCUGUGUUUAAUAUAAUCCUUUUGUUUUACAAGUAUUGCUGCUUUAUGUUGCAUCUACUUUUAAUUUAUGUAAAUUAUAGUGUCUUAUUCAUCUC